AUUGAACGCUGGCGGCAGGCCUAACACAUGCAAGUCGAACGAGUGGCGGACGGGUGAGUAAUGUCUGGGAAACUGCCUGAGGGAGGGGGAAAACUACGGGAAACGGUAGCUAAUACCGAAUACCAUCGGAGGUGCCCAGAUGGGUUUAGCUAGUAGGGGGGGGAAAGGCUCACCUAGGCGACGAUCCCUAGCUGUUCUGAGAGGAUUGCCAGCCACACUGGACCUGAGCCACGGUCCAGACGCCGCCGGGAGUCAGCAGUGGGGAUUAUUGCACUAUGGGCGCAAGCCUGAUACAGCCAUGCCGCGUGUAUGAAGAAGGCCUUCGGGUUGUAAAGUACUUUCAGAUGGGAGGCGUUACCCGCAGAAGAAGCACCGGCUAACUCCGUGCCAGCAGCCGCGGUAAUAC
rnacentral:rRNA from 1 species